AUUGAACGCUGGCGGCAUGCUUUACACAUGCAAGUCGAACGGUAACAGGCCUUCGGGUGCUGACGAGUGGCGAACGGGUGAGUAAUGCAUCGGAACGUGCCCAGAGGUGGGGGAUAACGCAGCGAAAGCUGUGCUAAUACCGCAUGUGAUCUGAGGAUGAAAGCGGGGGACCAGGCAGCAAUGUUUGGCCUCGCGCCUUUGGAGCGGCCGAUGUCAGAUUAGGUAGUUGGUGGGGUGAAGGCCUACCAAGCCGACGAUCUGUAGCUGGUCUGAGAGGACGACCAGCCACACUGGGACUGAGACACGGCCCAGACUCCUACGGGAGGCAGCAGUGGGGAAUUUUGGACAAUGGGCGCAAGCCUGAUCCAGCAAUGCCGCGUGCGGGAAGAAGGCCUUCGGGUUGUAAACCGCUUUUGUACGGAACGAAAAGGCUCUGGCUAAUACCUGGGGCUGAUGACGGUACCGUAAGAAUAAGCACCGGCUAACUACGU
rnacentral:rRNA from 1 species